AAAAGCUGUCAGGUAUGUCUACAAAGGGAAGACACUUUUUACAAGUGCAUGUAGUGACAGGACAAGGUGGAAGGGCUUUAAGCUGAAAGAGGGUAGAUUU